rnacentral:rRNA from 1 species
CGGACGAGACCUUGACCUACUUACUAGUUAGCACGUCUUCUUGUAAGAUUGUUACUUCUUAGAGGGACUUCAGAGGACACUCUGAGGAAGUUCUAGCUUAUAACAGGUCUGUGAUGCCCUUAGAUGGUCUGGGCUGCACGUGUGCUACAAUGGCUAAAACUGACAGUUGUCUCUUUGUCAGGAGAAACGGAUCGUUAAAUUUGGUCGUGUUUGGAAUUGAACCUUGAAAUUAUCAUUCAUGAACUAGGAAUUCCUAGUAAGUACAAGUCUUAAUCUUGUGCUGAUUGUGUCCCUGCCCUUUGUACACACCGCCCGUCGCUUCAACCGAUUGAAUGGUCCGGCGAAUUCCAGGGAGACUAAACAGUUAUUCUGUUCUUGAACUGGGGUAAAUCUUAUCAUUUAGAGGAUGAAGAAGUCGUAACACGGUAUCCGUAGGUGAACCUGCGGAAGGAUCAUUA